rnacentral:rRNA from 1 species
ACGGCUACCUUGUUACGACUUAGCCCCAGUCACCGAUUUCGCUCUAGGGCGCGCCUCGCGGCGACGCACUUCAAGCGCCCUCGGCUCCCAUGGCUUGACGGGCGGUGUGUACAAGGCCCGGGAACGUAUUCACCGCGCCAUGGCUGAUGCGCGAUUACUAGCGAAUCCAGCUUCACGGAGUCGGGUUGCAGACUCCGAUCCGAACUGAGAGUGGAUUUCGGGUUCCGCUCGGCGUCGCCGCCUGGCUUCCCGCUGUACCACCCAUUGUAACACGUGUGUCGCCCCGGACGUAAGGGCCGUGCUGAUUUGACGUCAUCCCCGCCUUCCUCGCGGCUUGCGCCGGCAGUCCGUGCAGAGUCCUCAGCGUUAUCUGUUAGCAACUGCACGCGGGGGUUGCGCUCGUUAUGGCACUUAAGCCGACACCUCACGGCACGAGCUGACGACAACCAUGCAGCACCUCGGGGAGUGUCCCGUGGGAAACAGGCGUCUCUGCCUGAGUCACUCCCCGUUUGAGCCCGGGUAAGGUUCCUCGCGUAUCAUCGAAUUAAACCACAUGUUCCUCCGCUUGUGCGGGCCCCCGUCAAUUCCUUUGAGUUUCACCGUUGCCGGCGUACUCCC